UACGUAGGUCCCGAGCGUUGUCCGGAUUUAUUGGGCGUAAAGCGAGCGCAGGUGGUUUAUUAAGUCUGGUGUAAAAGGCAGUGGCUCAACCAUUGUAUGCAUUGGAAACUGGUAGACUUGGGUGCAGGAGAGGAGAGUGGAAUUCCAUGUGUAGCGGUGAAAUGCGUAGAUAUAUGGAGGAACGCCGGUGGCGAAAGCGGCUCUCUGGCCUGUAACUGACACUGAGGCUCGAAAGCGUGGGGAGCAAACAGG
rnacentral:rRNA from 1 species